GUAGUACUUUCUUCGUUCUAAAUUACUUGUUGCAGGUAUGGAUGUAUCUAAAUAUACUGUAGUUCUAGAUAUAUUUAUUUCUGCGACGAGUAAUUUGGAACGGAUGGAGUACUUG
rfam:Triticum aestivum genome assembly, contig: Triticum_aestivum_CS42_TGACv1_scaffold_195780_3AL